rnacentral:rRNA from 2 species
UUAGGUUAAGUUAGAAAGGGCGCACGGUGAAUGCCUUGGCACUAGGAGCCGAUGAAGGACGGGACUAACACCGAUAUGCUUCGGGGAGCUGUAAGUAAGCUUUGAUCCGGAGAUUUCCGAAUGGGGAAACCCACUGCUCGUAAUGGAGCAGUAUCAUUACCUGAAUCCAUAGGGUAAUGAGGGCACACCCGGGGAACUGAAACAUCUAAGUACCCGGAGGAAGAGAAAGCAAAUGCGAUUCCCUGAGUAGCGGCGAGCGAAACGGGAACAGCCCAAACCGAAAGGCUUGCCUUUCGGGGUUGUAGGACACUCAAUACGGAGUUACAAAGGAACGGGGUAGAUGAAGCGGCCUGGAAAGGCCUGCCGUAGAAGGUAAAAGCCCUGUAGUUGAAACUUCGUUCCCUCCUGAGUGGAUCCUGAGUACGGCCGGACACGUGAAAUCUGGUCGGAAGCAGGGAGGACCAUCUCCCAAGGCUAAAUACUCCCUAGUGACCGAUAGUGAACCAGUACCGUGAGGGAAAGGUGAAAAGCACCCCGGGAGGGGAGUGAAAGAGAACCUGAAACCGUGUGCCUACAAGUAGUCAGAGCCCGUUUAUGGGUGAUGGCGUGCCUUUUGUAGAAUGAACCGGCGAGUUACGAUUACAUGCGAGGUUAAGUUGAAGAGACGGAGCCGUAGCGAAAGCGAGUCUGAAUAGGGCGAUGGAGUAUGUAGUCGUAGACCCGAAACCAGGUGAUCUACCCAUGUCCAGGGUGAAGUCCAGGUAACACUGGAUGGAGGCCCGAACCCACGCACGUUGAAAAGUGCGGGGAUGAGGUGUGGGUAGCGGAGAAAUUCCAAUCGAACUUGGAGAUAGCUGGUUCUCUCCGAAAUAGCUUUAGGGCUAGCCUCACGUAGUAAGAGUCUUGGAGGUAGAGCACUGUUUGGACUAGGGGCCCUCAUCGGGUUACCGAAUUCAGAUAAACUCCGAAUGCCAAUGACUUAUCCGUGGGAGUCAGACUAUGAGUGAUAAGAUCCAUGGUCAAAAGGGAAACAGCCCAGACCACCAGCUAAGGUCCCAAAGUAUACGUUAAGUGGAAAAGGAUGUGGAGUUGCUUAGACAACCAGGAUGUUGGCUUAGAAGCAGCCACCAUUUAAAGAGUGCGUAAUAGCUCACUGGUCGAGUGACUCUGCGCCGAAAAUGUACCGGGGCUAAACGUAUCACCGAAGCUGUGGGUGGACACCUUCUGGUGUCCGCGGUAGGAGAGCGUUCUAAGGGCGUUGAAGCUAGACCGUAAGGACUGGUGGAGCGCUUAGAAGUGAGAAUGCCGGUAUGAGUAGCGAAAGAUGAGUGAGAAUCUCAUCCACCGUAUGCCUAAGGUUUCCUGAGGAAGGCUCGUCCGCUCAGGGUUAGUCGGGACCUAAGCCGAGGCCGAAAGGCGUAGGCGAUGGACAACAGGUUGAUAUUCCUGUACCACCUCUUUAUCGUUUGAGUGAUGGGGGGACGCAGGAGGAUAGGGUAAGCGCGCUGCUGGUUAUGCGCGUGUAAGCAGUUAGGCUGGCAAAUAGGAAAAUCCGUUUGCCGUUAAGGCUGAGCUGUGAUGCCGAGGGAAUUUGAGUACCGAAGUUCCUGAUUCCACACUGCCAAGAAAAGCCUCUAGCGAGAUAAAAGGUGCCCGUACCGCAAACCGACACAGGUAGGCGAGGAGAGAAUCCUAAGGUGAGCGAGAGAACUCUCGUUAAGGAACUCGGCAAAAUGACCCCGUAACUUCGGGAGAAGGGGUGCUCAUUAGGGUGCAUAGCCUUGAUGAGCCGCAGUGAAUAGGCCCAGGCGACUGUUUAGCAAAAACACAGGUCUCUGCGAAGCCGCAAGGCGAAGUAUAGGGGCUGACGCCUGCCCGGUGCUGGAAGGUUAAGAGGAAGGGUUAGCUCACGCGAAGCUCUGAAUCGAAGCCCCAGUAAACGGCGGCCGUAACUAUAACGGUCCUAAGGUAGCGAAAUUCCUUGUCGGGUAAGUUCCGACCCGCACGAAAGGCGUAACGAUCUGGGCACUGUCUCAACGAGAGACUCGGUGAAAUUAUAGUACCUGUGAAGAUGCAGGUUACCCGCGACAGGACGGAAAGACCCCGUGGAGCUUUACUGCAGCCUGAUAUUGAAUUUUGGUACAGCUUGUACAGGAUAGGUAGGAGCCGUGGAAGCCGGAGCGCCAGCUUCGGUGGAGGCGUCGGUGGGAUACUACCCUGGCUGUAUUGAAAUUCUAACCCGCACCCCUUAUCGGGGUGGGAGACAGUGUCAGGUGGGCAGUUUGACUGGGGCGGUCGCCUCCUAAAGAGUAACGGAGGCGCCCAAAGGUUCCCUCAGAAUGGUUGGAAAUCAUUCGCAGAGUGUAAAGGCACAAGGGAGCUUGACUGCGAGACCUACAAGUCGAGCAGGGACGAAAGUCGGGCUUAGUGAUCCGGUGGUUCCGCAUGGAAGGGCCAUCGCUCAACGGAUAAAAGCUACCCCGGGGAUAACAGGCUUAUCUCCCCCAAGAGUCCACAUCGACGGGGAGGUUUGGCACCUCGAUGUCGGCUCAUCGCAUCCUGGGGCUGUAGUCGGUCCCAAGGGUUGGGCUGUUCGCCCAUUAAAGCGGUACGCGAGCUGGGUUCAGAACGUCGUGAGACAGUUCGGUCCCUAUCCGUCGUGGGCGUAGGAAAUUUGAGAGGAGCUGUCCUUAGUACGAGAGGACCGGGAUGGACGCACCGCUGGUGUACCAGUUGUCUUGCCAAAGGCACCGCUGGGUAGCUAUGUGCGGAAGGGAUAAGUGCUGAAAGCAUCUAAGCAUGAAGCCCCCCUCAAGAUGAGAUUUCCCAUAGCGUUAAGCUAGUAAGAUCCCUGAAAGAUGAUCAGGUUGAUAGGUCAGAGGUGGAAGCACGGUGACGUGUGGAGCUGACUGAUACUAAUCGAUCGAGGACUUAACCAAUU